UGCUAAAACGGAAAAGAAGACAAGAGGACGUGUCAUCCAUGGCAGUGUGUCAUUCUCCCGCUGAUGGUCCACUUUGCAGAGAAAUAUGAGGGGCUCAUUGUACUGGUUAAUGUCUUCCCAGUGGUGAUGUAGAGCUGAUGUGGAGGCAACAGUGCUGCUUCCUUCGUCCUUCCUUUCUUCAAGACCUGCGUUUUUUGUCUUUUGCCAAACUUAAGCCAGUAUCUUAUACCAGCGGUUCUUAACCUUUUUUUCUUAACGCACCCCCUUACCUGUGUCCAAGAUAUACCGCGCACCCCCAGCCCAAACGUCUACAUGUGUAUACGCUGAAAUGAAACUAAAAAUGAUUUAAGUGAUUCAUUAGGCUACAAUGAUUCUUGCUUGAGACUCAAUACCUCAAUACCUUUACACGAGGACCAAAAUGUGUUUUAAUUUGGUCUUAAUUUUGCCUAAUUAGAAUGUUAGCUAGCUGAAUUUUAGUCACAACCUCAACACAAACAAAAUUCCGUGCACCCCCUGAAAUCUCUGGCGCACCCCCAGGGGGUGCCCGCACCCCAGGUUAAGAACCACUCUCUUAUACAGUAGAAACUAAGCCUAACACUUGAAGCCCCGUAGGCAUUGCUUGACUGACACCAAUCUGACGAGCUUGCUCAGCCGGUGGAAUCUCUUGUAUACAUGAAUAAGCAAACUGGACGUGUUCUUUCUGAACGUUAUUAAUUGUGGCUCACCACAAUGUUGAAGUGCAUACAGUAGCAGUACGCCAAGUCAGCAUUGUAUGCAAUAGUCAUUAACAGGAAUGAAAAACAACAGAAGUUUAUCAUGCACACACCGAGUGUAGCGUUCAAAACUGUUUGUGUUCCCCUCCGCCAGGCAACACCUGUCAUCUGAGCAAAGGUUCUCCCACGUGUGACCCCCAAUUGCGUUGCAGUGCCAUUGUACAAUUACAGCAUCACAUUAUGUUUAACAGUCUUAUUGCUUUAGUACUUUUUUAUUAGAGGUGAUGUAACCCUUUCAUGGGGAAGGCAGUAGAAAAAGUAUUCAUCUAAAUUAUGUUUAUUCAUCAAAACAUCAAAUGAUGUUGUCACACUCAACAGAUUGGAUGAUGAGCAUUGGGCCUGUUUUUGUUUUGUGAUAUAUUUACAUUGUAGUUUGCUGAUGAGUUUUUGUACAUGACUACAGUGAUGGGCAAAUGUACGUUUCUGUGUUUAUUGCAUUAUUGUCUUAACACCUUUUCAUUAUUGCUGUGCUUUAUUUGUAUGCUAUUGUGCAUUGGUGGUGAUACCCUGUGUCUCAUAUGAUAUGACCUACACCUUACAUGUAUUCCUGGGACAAGAGUGUGCCGGUUGUGCAUAUCUACCACCAACUACUCAGACAACCCAAGGCCAUCUGCUUCUAACACCUGGAACUAAAAAACAGACUGAUGCUGUGCUUUUAAGCGUUUAAUAAACUUUGUUUUAGCUA